rnacentral:rRNA from 1 species
GGUCAAGUGAAGAAGCGCAUACGGUGGAUGCCUUGGCAGUCAGAGGCGAUGAAAGACGUGGUAGCCUGCGAAAAGCUUCGGGGAGUCGGCAAACAGACUGUGAUCCGGAGAUGUCUGAAUGGGGGAACCCAGCCAUCACAAGAUGGUUAUCUUACACUGAAUACAUAGGUGUAAGAGGCGAACCAGGGGAACUGAAACAUCUAAGUACCCUGAGGAAAAGAAAUCAACCGAGAUUCCCUUAGUAGUGGCGAGCGAACGGGGACCAGCCCUUAAGUUGUAUUGAGAUUAGCGGAACGCUCUGGAAAGUGCGGCCAUAGUGGGUGAUAGCCCUGUACGCGAAAAUCCCUUUGCAAUGAAAUCGAGUAGGACGGGGCACGAGAAACCUUGUCUGAAUAUGGGGGGACCAUCCUCCAAGGCUAAAUACUACUGACUGACCGAUAGUGAACCAGUACCGUGAGGGAAAGGCGAAAAGAACCGCGGAGAGCGGAGUGAAAUAGAUCCUGAAACCGUAUGCGUACAAGCAGUGGGAGCCCACUUUGUUGGGUGACUGCGUACCUUUUGUAUAAUGGGUCAGCGACUUAUUUUCAGUGGCGAGCUUAACCGAAUAGGGGAGGCGUAGCGAAAGCGAGUCUUAAUAGGGCGUCUAGUCGCUGGGAAUAGACCCGAAACCGGGCGAUCUAUCCAUGGGCAGGUUGAAGGUUGGGUAACACUAACUGGAGGACCGAACCGACUACCGUUGAAAAGUUAGCGGAUGACCUGUGGAUCGGAGUGAAAGGCUAAUCAAGCUCGGAGAUAGCUGGUUCUCCUCGAAAGCUAUUUAGGUAGCGCCUCAUGUAUCACUGUAGGGGGUAGAGCACUGUUUCGGCUAGGGGGUCAUCCCGACUUACCAAACCGAUGCAAACUCCGAAUACCUACAAGUGCCGAGCAUGGGAGACACACGGCGGGUGCUAACGUCCGUCGUGAAAAGGGAAACAACCCAGACCGUCAGCUAAGGUCCCAAAGUCAUGGUUAAGUGGGAAACGAUGUGGGAAGGCUUAGACAGCUAGGAGGUUGGCUUAGAAGCAGCCACCCUUUAAAGAAAGCGUAAUAGCUCACUAGUCGAGUCGGCCUGCGCGGAAGAUGUAACGGGGCUCAAACCAUGCACCGAAGCUACGGGUAUCACCUUUGGUGAUGCGGUAGAGGAGCGUUCUGUAAGCCUGUGAAGGUGAGUUGAGAAGCUUGCUGGAGGUAUCAGAAGUGCGAAUGCUGACAUGAGUAACGACAAUGGGUGUGAAAAACACCCACGCCGAAAGACCAAGGUUUCCUGCGCAACGUUAAUCGACGCAGGGUUAGUCGGUCCCUAAGGCGAGGCUGAAAAGCGUAGUCGAUGGAAAACAGGUUAAUAUUCCUGUACUUCUGGUUAUUGCGAUGGAGGGACGGAGAAGGCUAGGCCAGCCUGGCGUUGGUAGUCCAGGUUUAAGGUGGUAGGCUGAGAUCUUAGGUAAAUCCGGGAUCUUAAGGCCGAGAGCUGAUGACGAGUGUUCUUUUAGAACAUGAAGUGGUUGAUGCCAUGCUUCCAAGAAAAGCUUCUAAGCUUCAGGUAACCAGGAACCGUACCCCAAACCGACACAGGUGGUUGGGUAGAGAAUACCAAGGCGCUUGAGAGAACUCGGGUGAAGGAACUAGGCAAAAUGGCACCGUAACUUCGGGAGAAGGUGCGCCGGUGAGGGUGAAGCAUUUACUGCGUAAGCCCACGCCGGUCGAAGAUACCAGGCCGCUGCGACUGUUUAUUAAAAACACAGCACUCUGCAAACACGAAAGUGGACGUAUAGGGUGUGACGCCUGCCCGGUGCCGGAAGGUUAAUUGAUGGGGUUAGCGAAAGCGAAGCUCUUGAUCGAAGCCCCGGUAAACGGCGGCCGUAACUAUAACGGUCCUAAGGUAGCGAAAUUCCUUGUCGGGUAAGUUCCGACCUGCACGAAUGGCGUAACGAUGGCGGCGCUGUCUCCACCCGAGACUCAGUGAAAUUGAAAUCGCUGUGAAGAUGCAGUGUAUCCGCGGCUAGACGGAAAGACCCCGUGAACCUUUACUAUAGCUUUGCACUGGACUUUGAAUUUGCUUGUGUAGGAUAGGUGGGAGGCUUUGAAGCGUGGACGCUAGUCUGCGUGGAGCCAACCUUGAAAUACCACCCUGGCAACUUUGAGGUUCUAACUCAGGUCCGUUAUCCGGAUCGAGGACAGUGUAUGGUGGGUAGUUUGACUGGGGCGGUCUCCUCCUAAAGAGUAACGGAGGAGUACGAAGGUGCGCUCAGACCGGUCGGAAAUCGGUCGUAGAGUAUAAAGGCAAAAGCGCGCUUGACUGCGAGACAGACACGUCGAGCAGGUACGAAAGUAGGUCUUAGUGAUCCGGUGGUUCUGUAUGGAAGGGCCAUCGCUCAACGGAUAAAAGGUACUCCGGGGAUAACAGGCUGAUACCGCCCAAGAGUUCAUAUCGACGGCGGUGUUUGGCACCUCGAUGUCGGCUCAUCACAUCCUGGGGCUGAAGCCGGUCCCAAGGGUAUGGCUGUUCGCCAUUUAAAGUGGUACGCGAGCUGGGUUUAGAACGUCGUGAGACAGUUCGGUCCCUAUCUGCCGUGGACGUUUGAGAUUUGAGAGGGGCUGCUCCUAGUACGAGAGGACCGGAGUGGACGAACCUCUGGUGUUCCGGUUGUCACGCCAGUGGCAUUGCCGGGUAGCUAUGUUCGGAAAAGAUAACCGCUGAAAGCAUCUAAGCGGGAAACUUGCCUCAAGAUGAGAUCUCACUGGAACCUAGAGUUCCCUGAAGGGCCGUCGAAGACUACGACGUUGAUAGGUUGGGUGUGUAAGCGCUGUGAGGCGUUGAGCUAACCAAUACUAAUUGCCCGUGAGGCUUGACCAUAUAACACCCA